rnacentral:lncRNA from 1 species
AAAAAGUGGAGGGAUAGUCGUGCGCGGUUGUUUGCUGAAUGUUAUAAACCUGCACUUGGAAAAGUGAUGGCUCUUUUGUAAAUGAAGAAGCAAAACAAAAGAGUGUGAGUAUAGUUACAAGUUUCUAUUUCCUUUGAAAAUUUUAUAACUAUCAAAUAUGCUUUGUAUGUUUGAUGGCAUGCACAUGUUUAAUUUUUUGUGUAGGAUUUAUUGGAGAAGGAACUUGAAAAGAAUUGUUCUGAAGAGGCUGCCUUACCGGGAACCACGAAGAUGAUGAGCCAUACAUUAAAGCUUCUGAAGCACAAAUGAUUUAUUAUGUUGGUGAUGAGAAAGAAAAGGGUUGUGUAUACCUAUUCUUUUAAAGUCAAUGGACCUAUAUGACAUGGGUCCAUCACAAGAUUUGGAGCAAUUAUUUCCUGAUGAUGAUACUGAGAAUAUACAAUUGGCUAGAGAUGUUAUGGAUGAUGAUCCUUCAACUUGAUGCCUAUGAACAUGAUCUGACUUGUAUUUAAUUUCAGUUGUUAAUGUAAUUCAGUUCCAUUUGAUGUCUAUGAACAUGAUCUGACUUGUUUUAUGUGAAUGUUGACUCUUGCUUGAGUUUUAAUGUAAUUCAUACUCUUGCUUGUUUCAUUCCUAAGUGCAGUUAAACUUGCAUUUUUUUGAUCAGUUACUACCAACUUAUGUUCUCUGAUUUGUUAUCAAGAUAGCUGAAUGUAAUUAGUUACAUGAAAAUGUCUCAUUAUUUGAAUCAUGCAUUUCAUGUUAAACUUUAACUCAUGCCUCUUGAAUCAUGCAUUUAAUUUCAUCAUUCCUAGUUGUUUCGAAGAUUACUAACAUCUUUGUUUUAUAGGAAUGGCUAAAAGAAAGAGGUUCGCUCCUAGAACUCUUUCUACACCAACACAAAUUCAGGGUAAUGCUUCUACCAUUAGUGAAAGUGCAUCCCAUGCUUCAGCACAUAGUGAGCCCGUAGUUCCUACUAGCUCAUUCAUCCCAUCCAUUAGUGUUGCAUCACAAAGCCCCCAAACUGCUUUUAUCAUUUAGUAAUUAAAUUUGUCUUUUGAAGAGAAAAUUCCUAGUCAAUGAUGGGCAGCAUAAGAAGUGGAUACUAAAAAAUAUUGGAAAAAAGUGGAGGGAUAGUCGUGCGCGGUUGUUUGCUGAAUGUUAUAAACCUGCACUUGGAAAAGUGAUGGCUCUUUUGUAAAUGAAGAAGCAAAACAAAAGAGUGUGAGUAUAGUUACAAGUUUCUAUUUCCUUUGAAAAUUUUAUAACUAUCAAAUAUGCUUUGUAUGUUUGAUGGCAUGCACAUGUUUAAUUUUUUGUGUAGG